rnacentral:rRNA from 1 species
AAGACCUUGCGCUUUUGGAGCGGCCGAUGUCCGAUUAGCUUGUUGGUGAGGUAAAGGCUUACCAAGGCUUCGAUCAGUAGCUGGUCUGAGAGGACGGCCAGCCACACUGGGACUGAGACACGGCCCAGACUCCUACGGGAGGCAGCAGUGGGGAAUUUUGGACAAUGGGGGCAACCCUGAUCCAGCCAUGCCGCGUGAGUGAAGAAGGCCUUCGGGUUGUAAAGCUCUUUCAGCCGGAACGAAACGGUUACGGUUAAUACCCGUGACUACUGACGGUACCGGAAGAAGAAGCGCCGGCUAACUACGUGCCAGCAGCCGCGGUAAUACGUAGGGUGCAAGCGUUAAUCGGAAUUACUGGGCGUAAAGCGUGCGCAGGUGGUUUUGUAAGUCAGAUGUGAAAUCCCCGGGCUUAACCUGGGAACU